CGGCGGACGGGUGAGUAACGCGUGAGCAACCAACCUUGUACAGGGGGAUAACAGGUGGAAACACCUGCUAAUACCGCAUAAGACCCCGGCACUGCAUGGUGCUGAGGUAAAGGAGGAAACUCCGGUACGAGACGGGCUCGCGUCCCAUUAGCUGGUUGGUGGGGUGACGGCCUACCAAGGCGACGAUGGGUAGCCGGCCUGAGAGGGUGUACGGCCACACUGGGACUGAGACACGGCCCAGACUCCUACGGGAGGCAGCAGUGGGGGAUAUUGCGCAAUGGGGGGAACCCUGACGCAGCGACGCCGCGUGAGCGAAGAAGGCCUUCGGGUCGUAAAGCUCUGUCUUUGGGGAAGAAUAAGAUGACGGUACCCAAGGAGGAAGCCCCGGCUAACUACGUGCCAGCAGCCGCGGUAACACGUAGGGGGCGAGCGUUGUCCGGAAUUACUGGGCGUA
rnacentral:rRNA from 1 species